rnacentral:tRNA from 1 species
AAAAUCCGUUGACUUUAGAAAUCGUGAGGGUUCAAGUCCCUCUAUCCCCAAAAAAAGGUCGAUUUGAUCCCCCAACUAUUUCUCCUACCCUCUCGUUUUUUUUUAGUGAUUCAAAAUUCGUUAUUUUUCUCAUUCAUCCUACUUUUUUACAAACGUAUCUGAGCAGGAUUUUUUUCUUUUAUCACAAUCACAAGUUGUGUGGUAUAUAUGAUAUACGUACAAAUGAACAUCCUUGAGCAAAGAAUCCCGAUUCACAAUCCAUAUCCUUGCUCAUACUGAAACUAAUAAAGUAUUCUUUUUGAAAAUUCAAGAAAAAAAAAUUCCCCGUUCAAGACUUUUAAUACUUUUUUCGUCUUUUUUAAUUGACAUAGACCCCAGUCAUCUAGUAAAAUGAGGAUGAUGCGUCGGUAAUGGUCGGGAUAGCUCAGUGGUAGAGCAGAGGACUGAAAAUCCUCGUGUCACC